AUGGCUCGUGGCAAUCAUCAAAACGAUGAUGAUGAUUUCAUGGAUCCACCACAGCGUAAUCGGGCAACUGGACGGAGAAAAGAGGGUGAUGAGAAGAAGAAACGUAUUCGCAACAGAGCCUCCCAAGAACGACUGACUGCGUUGACUGGCAAAUUCACUGACGAUCAGAAGGGGGUUGCUGCUGAGAUGGGUAUGCAGUCUAUGAUGGAUGUCCGGUGCAUGAACCUUGUCAACCCUGUAUGCGACUUGGUUGGUGAGAUCUACGACCCCGCCUCCAGGGAAUUCGUGAUUCCGGGACGUGGAAGACUACCGUUGAACGAGGAAUCCGUGUUCUGCACUUUGGGUGUGCCUCGUGGACAUAUGAAAGUUCCGUACAAGGUCAACAAUGAGAUCGUGGAAGCGCUGUUCCCCCGUUUGUUUCCUGGGUCUGAAUCCAUGCCAAACACGUCUGCAGUGGCAGAUUCGCUGCAGGCCAUGACGACGCAUGGAGAUGUUUUCAAGAUGAAGCUACUCAUGUACCUCAUCUCAGCUAUUUUCGCGCCGACCACCUCUCUUCGCCCAAGCAACAAAUGCUUCCCCAUCUUGGCGGAUCUGGGAAAUGUGAAGAACAUAAAUUGGUGUAGUUUAUUGCCGAUUUCCUGCAUGAUGCAUUCUCAAACAAGAUGUACCAAAAGGGUUGUCGAAUGCAUCAACUCAUGUACGUCGACUGUCUUGACCUGUCCACCGUGGAUUUCACUGGGACAGGAGGCCCGCCGCCUGCGCACAAGUUUGUUGUUUCUGCAUGGACUAUCAAUGCUGUCAAGGCUGUGCUUGCCACAGACAAGGCUACUGACACCACAUAUGGAAAACUGCAGCCGAUGGCCAAGCAUGCUAUAG
rnacentral:rRNA from 1 species